GGGUUGUGAGGUUAAGCGACUAAGCGUACACGGUGGAUGCCCUGGCAGUCAGAGGCGAUGAAGGGCGUGCUAAUCUGCGAUAAGCGCCGGUAAGGUGAUAUGAACCGUUAUAACCGGCGAUACCCGAAUGGGGAAACCCAGUGUGAUUCGUCACACUAUCAUUAACUGAAUCCAUAGGUUAAUGAGGCGAACCGGGGGAACUGAAACAUCUAAGUACCCCGAGGAAAAGAAAUCAACCGAGAUUCCCCCAGUAGCGGCGAGCGAACGGGGAGGAGCCCAGAGCCUGAAUCAGCAUGUGUGUUAGUGGAAGCGUCUGGAAAGGCGCGCGAUACAGGGUGACAGCCCCGUACACAAAAGCGCAUGUGCUGUGAGCUCGAUGAGUAGGGCGGGACACGUGGUAUCCUGUCUGAAUAUGGGGGGACCAUCCUCCAAGGCUAAAUACUCCUGACUGACCGAUAGUGAACCAGUACCGUGAGGGAAAGGCGAAAAGAACCCCGGCGAGGGGAGUGAAAAAGAACCUGAAACCGUGUACGUACAAGCAGUGGGAGCACCCUGUGUGACUGCGUACCUUUUGUAUAAUGGGUCAGCGACUUAUAUUCUGUAGCAAGGUUAACCGAAUAGGGGAGCCGGAGGGAAACCGAGUCUUAAUUGGGCGUUAAGUUGCAGGGUAUAGACCCG
rnacentral:rRNA from 1 species